GUGCUUAUAUCACUUUGGCAACACAUAUACUAAAACUGAAAGGACACAGAGAUUAGCAUGGCACCUGCAUAAGAACGACACACAAAUUAGUGAAGCGUUCCAUAUUUUU
ensembl:snRNA U6 U6 spliceosomal RNA